rnacentral:rRNA from 1 species
GAUGAACGCUGGCGGCGUGCCUAAUACAUGCAAGUCGAGCGAACAGACGAGGAGCUUGCUCCUCUGACGUUAGCGGCGGACGGGUGAGUAACACGUGGAUAACCUACCUAUAAGACUGGGAUAACUUCGGGAAACCGGAGCUAAUACCGGAUAAUAUAUUGAACCGCAUGGUUCAAUAGUGAAAGACGGUUUUGCUGUCACUUAUAGAUGGAUCCGCGCCGCAUUAGCUAGUUGGUAAGGUAACGGCUUACCAAGGCAACGAUGCGUAGCCGACCUGAGAGGGUGAUCGGCCACACUGGAACUGAGCCACGGUCCAUGCUCCUACGGGAGGCAGCAGUAGGGAAUCUUCCGCAAUGGGCGAAAGCCUGACGGAGCAACGCCGCGUGAGUGAUGAAGGUCUUCGGAUCGUAAAACUCUGUUAUUAGGGAAGAACAAAUGUGUAAGUAACUAUGCACGUCUUGACGGUACCUAAUCAGAAAGCCACGGCUAACUACGUG